rnacentral:tmRNA from 1 species
GGGGUCGCCUUGGUUUUGACAGCGAGUUGAGGCGGUAUGUGUAAGCACGUCGGGACGUGAGCGCGAGUCCUGUUAAAAACACGCUUAAACAAUAGCUGGCGAAUAUAGCUACGCUAUGGCUGCCUAAUCCGGAGUGAUUACGCUUUAGCCAUCGUUCCUCCAGUCUCCGCCUUGCUGGCUGGAUCAAGGGGCGUCGAAUCGCAGGACUGGUCGUGGCGACGUUGCUAACACACGACGAGAAACCAAGCAACUAAGGCAUCGGUGUAGGUCUGUUUUGAACCUUUCUGAAGCCCGAAAAUUGAAUCAAAACUAAGCGUGUAGAAGACAUAUCGUUUCCUUGUUCUGGACGCGGGUUCGACUCCCGCCGACUCCACAA